rnacentral:rRNA from 1 species
UGCUUUUGAUGGGCGUCGACCGGCGCACGGGUGAGUAACGCGUAUCCAACCUGCCCAUCACUUGGGGAUAACCUUGCGAAAGUAAGACUAAUACCCAAUGAUAUCUCUAGAAGGCAUCUGAAAGAGAUUAAAGAUUUAUCGGUGAUGGAUGGGGAUGCGUCUGAUUAGCUUGUUGGCGGGGUAACGGCCCACCAAAGCAACGAUCAGUAGGGGUUCUGAGAGGAAGGUCCCCCACAUUGGAACUGAGACACGGUCCAAACUCCUACGGGAGGCAGCAGUGAGGAAUAUUGGUCAAUGGGCGAGAGCCUGAACCAGCCAAGUAGCGUGCAGGAUGACGGCCCUAUGGGUUGUAAACUGCUUUUAUAAGGGAAUAAAGUGAGUCUCGUGAGACUUUUUGCAUGUACCUUAUGAAUAAGGACCGGCUAAUUCCGUGCCAGCAGCCGCGGUAAUACGGAAGGUCCGGGCGUUAUCCGGAUUUAUUGGGUUUAAAGGGAGCGUAGGCCGGAGAUUAAGCGUGUUGUGAAAUGUAGACGCUCAACGUCUGCACUGCAGCGCGAACUGGUUUCCUUGAGUACGCACAAAGUGGGCGGAAUUCGUGGUGUAGCGGUGAAAUGCUUAGAUAUCACGAAGAACUCCGAUUGCGAAGGCAGCUCACUGGAGCGCAACUGACGCUGAA